CGGGGAAUUUUGGACAACGGGGGAAACCCUGAUCCAGCCAUCCCGCGUGUGCGAUGAAGGCCUUCGGGUUGUAAAGCACUGUUGGCAGGAAAGAAACGUCAUGGGUUAAUACCCCGUGAAACUGACGGUACCUGCAGAAUAAGCACCGGCUAACAACGUGCCAGCAGCCGCGGUAAUACGUAGGGUGCAAGCGUUAAUCGGAAUUACUGGGCGUAAAGCGUGCGCAGGCGGUUCGGAAAGAAAGAUGUGAAAUCCCAGAGCUCAACUUUGGAACUGCAUUUUUAACUACCGGGCUAGAGUGUGUCAGAGGGAGGUGGAAUUCCGCGUGUAGCAGUGAAAUGCGUAGAUAUGCGGAGGAACACCGAUGGCGAAGGCAGCCUCCUGGGAUAACACUGACGCUCAUGCACGAAGGCGUGGGGAGCAAACAGG
rnacentral:rRNA from 1 species